rnacentral:rRNA from 1 species
AGAGUUUGAUCCUGGCUCAGAUUGAACGCUGGCGGCGUGCCUAACACAUGCAAGUCGAACGAUGAUGGAGGAGCUUGCUCUUCCUGAUUAGUGGCGCACGGGUGAGUAACGCAUAGGUAAUGUGCCCCUUAGUUCGGGAUAGCCACUGGAAACGGUGAUUAAUACCGGAUACUCCUUCUCAUUAUAAGAUGAGUCGGGAAAGUUUUUCGCUAAGGGAUCAGCCUAUGUCCUAUCAGCUAGUUGGUGAGGUAAUGGCUCACCAAGGCAAUGACGGGUAUCUGGUUUGAGAGGAUGAUCAGACACACUGGAACAGAGACACGGUCCAGACUCCUACGGGAGGCAGCAGUGAGGAAUAUUGCACAAUGGAGGAAACUCUGAUGCAGCAACGCCGCGUGGAGGAUGACGCAUUUCGGUGUGUAAACUCCUUUUAAGAGGGAAGAUUAUGACGGUACCUCUUGAAUAAGCACCGGCUAACUCCGUGCCAGCAGCCGCGGUAA